AAUAAUAUAGAAUGAUAAUACUACUAACAAUAUUAAUUAUUAUAAGUGUUAUACAUAUUAUCUAAGGGAACAUUAUCCUUAAUUUUAUCAUGUUGCAUAUCACUAUUAAGUAAAAUCAAUUUUAAACCAUCGGUUUGUUUCAGAAAACAUUCAGGAGCCUGACAAUCAUAUAAGGUCGGGCCAAACAACCGAGUUUGAAGAAGCUUAUUUAUAUAUUCAACCGGAUCAGGAGAAGAUGAGUCACCGUUAUAGCACACUUUUAUCAGUAGCAGAGCAACAGAGUGACCAAGAGAAGCCUCGUGUUACAGUUACAAACAGAUCAAAGAAACGUAUUUACGAAAAUAUAGUAGGAGGAAAGGAAUGUACAAAUACAGAUGAAGAUCGUAUACAACCAAGCCCUCAUGCUAUAAGUUCUCGGGAGCAAACCACGCACGAAUCUUUUGUAAGAAGUUCGCAAACUGCAGAGUAUGAAAUGAUGAGUACAUAGUUUGGAGAAGUUUUUGUUUAUCAUACAAUCGCUCUUUGUAACCAUAAGCGAUUCGCCAGAAUCGUAUAUACAAUCGUAGCACUGUACAGAAAUAAUGGCAGACUCGAAAAACACACAGUGAUCUGAAGCAAAGUUCAUUAUCUGUUUAUAUAUAUAUAUAUAUAUAUAGCGUGUAACCAGUCAGGUGUAUCAACAAUGUGACAUGCUUUUUUUAGCUGGCUUGCUUUUUUGCUGAUUACUCAGCUAACAUAGUGAAGUAAAAAGUGAUUUUGGUAUCAAAUUGAAGAGGAAUACUUCCUUUAUACAGUGAUGAAAAAAGUGGAAUAAAAAAUUAAUCAGGAAUAGGAUAUUGAUGUUAAAUGACAAUUUUCUUUGUCUGCUGGAAAAAUAGAAAUUUAUAACCAAUAGAUUCAAAUAGUGCAGAGCGAUUAAAUCAGCAGAGAUAAUAACAGUUAUUGGAUUACUGAUCAGCUCUGAUCAGCUCUGCUAUCACAACACGGACUACAAGUGACUGAAUAAAUCAAACAUACUUUAAAGCUGUUAUAUCGCUACCUCAGCAAAACGUCUUCAUGAGUGAAAAGGAGUCUUCAAAAGGGUUAAAAAAAUAAUACCAACCACCUGGAAAAAUGCCCGCCAAAGGUGAAGAAAGACCAAAACGCACCAACUUAGAAAGCAGUAAUGAUAGUCUGAAUGAUGGCUCAAUCAAGCAACAACUUGAGUCCAUAGAGCAGUCUCUAAAAUACUUAACAACUGAAACGAAAUCUCUUUUGAAAAGAGAAGCAAUUGAAAGCCUGAUUUUUAACACUCCGUCCUCCAUCCUUUCUGAAGUAGAAAAACGCAAUGAAGAAAGACUAACCUAAUUAAAAAAUGACAUUGCCAAAGAAAUGGAAGCAAAAUUACCAACAAACUGUUUGUAAACAAGUCGAAGAAAAAGUAAAAGACCUGACUGAACACAUCAAGGGCUAGAGUUCGAAAACGAAACUCCCAAAGAAACUAUUUCCUCAAUAAAAAAUGAUUAUAGUAAAAACAUUGAAAAUAUCACCACAUAAGUAAAUGAAAAUGCACACAAAAGCAAUGAUGCUAUAAAGCGCUCAAAUUACAACGAGCAGUAUUCACGUAAAAAUAAUAUAAAAAUAAUGGACAUACAAGAAGAUCACCAGGAAUCUAUUCCAAACCUAACUUCAAAGGUAAUAGGGCUACUUCACGAUAAAGGAGUCAAACUCCAAAACGACCAAAUACUCGAAAUUCACAGAAUACCAAGUAAGAAAGGACAAAGCAGACCAGUGCUUUUGAAGUUAAAGUGUAAUAAUGACAAAACACUAAUUAUGCGCAAAAGGAAGGAAAUGAAGGCAGCAGGGCACAGACUAGUUGACGAUGUUACAGCUCUCAACAGUGCAUUGAUGAAUAGACUGUCCCUACAUCCAGCCAUAGAGACCACUUGGUUUUUCAACGGUUCCGUGUUUGCGCUCACCAAGAAUCAAGAGCGCAUAAAGUUUGACAUCCAUGACAAUAUCAACAGUGUCAUAAGCGAGUACCGGGAAAUAAACAAUUAUCUGUUUAGACAGUGUGGACAUACCAGGACGUUUGCUAGUAAGAAAAUAAUCGCACAAAUUAUAUUUUAUGAUUAAUUGUCAUUCAAUCAUUUAGGGCUUAUUCUUAACAAUAUUGUCAAAUAGCGCUUUCUCUAUCCAAAAACUGCUGUCAAAGCAAAGUUUUUUCUCUCUGUAUUGUUAAAUUCUCUAAACGAAAAUGAAUGAACUGCUUUAAAAUUACAUGACUACAAGAUUGCAGUAGCAUUGCAUUAUUUGUGUAUUAAGAUCAACUGUAGUAUUUAGGGAUUAAUGACACUGUAUUUAGCUGGUAACUAUUGUUGAAAUAUAAUCAAUUCCUUUAUGUAUUGUGAAAAUAUCUCACUGAAUAUUCAGCUCUAAAUUGUAUGGCAGUUCAAAUCUAUUUUUGUUAAAGGCUUUACAAAUAUCCUGACACACUCCAAUAGCCCAAUAAAUGCAUACAGGUUAUUUUGAGCAUAAACAUGUGUAUAUUGAUCUAACAUGUAUGAAUAUUUUUACAUUAUUAUGUGCUAACAUGUAUGAACGUUUACAUUAUUAUCUACUUUAUUAAAUAUAGUAUAGCUAUUACAUUAUUAUGACCUUUAUUAAAAAAACGUGGCUAUACAUUUAACCUGUAACUUAAUCAUAUAUAAUCACUAUACAAAUACUGUAGAUAAUUUAUGCUGUUUCAUAAAAAAAAUUAAAAAGUAAUAAGAAACACGGUUUAUAGCAUAUUUCUUCACUUCAUGGAAAAACAAUCUUUGUGUUUUUGCUAUGCUAAUACAAUUUGGCAUUUGUGUAAUGUGUCAUUUAACCUGUUUAAUUUUAUUAAUGUGUAUAGUCAUCAUGUUAAUUGAAAAACAAUCAAUUUUUUGCUAUGCUAACAAUUUUGCAUUUUUGUAACGUGUCAUUUAAAUUGUUUAAUUUUAUUAAUAUGUAAUGUCAUAAUGUUAUUCAACUCCUGCCAGCAGGUAACUAUUGUUGAAAUACAAUCAAGUUCUUUAUGUAUUGUGAAAAUAUCUAACUGAAUAUUCAUCUCUAAAUUGUAUGGCUAGUUCAUAGCAGUUCAAAUCUAUUUAAUAGAAAAAUCUUUUUUUGCUAUGCUUAUAUAAUUUGACAUUUGUGAAAUGUGUCAUUUAAACUGUAUAAUUUAAUUAAUGUGUAAAGUUAUCAUGUUAAUUGAAAAACAAUCAAUUUUAUUUUUUGCUGUACUAAUACAAUUUGGCAUUUGUGUAAAGUGUAAUUUAAAUUGUUUAAUUUGAUCAAUGUGUAAAGUCAUAAUGUUAUUCACCUCCUGCCAGCAGGUAACUAUUGUUGUAAUACAAUCAAGUCCUUUAUGUAUUGUGAAAAUAUCUAAUAGAAUAUUCAUCUCUAAAUUGUAUGGCUAGUUCAUAGCAGUUCAAAUCUAUUUUCGAAUAUGUUGCGGUUCUCAUGAGAUUUUAUAUAAAAACAACAUGCGAAUCAAAGCCUAUUUAUUGCUUCAAUAAUUUUAAUAAACAGGGACUACUUUGGAUCAUAAUAUUGCAAUGCUCAAAAGCUAACCUGUUUGUGUGUGUUUGUGUUUGACAUUCAUAUUUUAAAACUGAGUAUUUGGUACAAAAACAGCAUGCUAUUCUAUUUCACUUGUUGUAAAUGUUUCACUUAAAUACAGAUGUGG